UUUUUAGUGAAGCUUGUUUUUGUACUUUUCUUUGCAUUGUUAUGUUCUUAGUUUUAUUUUUUGGGUUCUAGAAUUAUUGGUUUAAAAAUAAAAAUACAUAUAAAGGCCCCCAUGGCUUGUUUUGCUGCAUUUGUUACUGUCUUCAUUAGAAUAACAGUUUUAGUUUUAGUUUUACUUUUAUGUAUUCAUGUAUUUUUUGCUUGUAAAUAGAUGGUAUAAUUUUAGAAUGUAAUGCAUUGCAUUGAAAUUUCUCUUGUACUUGAGAGUAGCGUACUUGAGAGUUGGGCAGGUGAAAGUGAAUGUAUGAUAAAAUGCUAGAAAUAAAAAUCUUCCCGUAGAUACCAAAACUGGAUACUGUUCACAGUCCCAUUUUCAACGCUUCCACCUCCCCCCUUCCCAAUUGAUAUGUUUAAUGGAGGGUUUGUGUGUGUGUGUGUGUGUGUGUGUGUGUGUGUGUGAGUGUUUUAGCAUCAAAGAAUUUUUUGGGCCAUCAAUUAAACAAUUUCCUAUUUAGAACUAAUUCAUAAUCAUACAAUGUUUAAAUAUUUUGAAUUCCUGAGGCAAAUUCAUGAUAUCUAAUUGUGUACUGGAUUAAUCCUCACUUUUUCCAUGAGACUGAUGAAUGCUGUCUUAAUGAUCCUACAAUGGAGAAAAACACUUGCUAUCUCUUUGACACAAGGAAAAUUACAACAAAUAAGAUUCAACUUUUAAGAUUUCUGUUGAUUAGAAAUUUCAGAUGUUGUUUGAAAUGACAAGUAUAAAAGUUUUUAUAUUACUUUAAGACUGAUAUGUUAGGAGGUUCUACUUGAUUACUUUGUUUAUGUUGUGAAUUUGAAUGUAGUAAUUUUUUUUUUAAAAAUAGAAUCUUGCUUAAAAUCUCUCUUGUAGCGCCUAGUUUUGUAGCAUAUUGAGUAAUUUAUCAAUUAUAAAUAGCAAGAAAAGAUUGGUGGGAACGGUUAUUUUGUUAAGAAUAAUGAGUUGGCAAAUUUGUUAGAGACAGCUGUAUAGUUCUUUGUAUAAAUACAGUAGAAGAGUCUCGAAUAGAAGCAGUUACAAUUUCACAAUAUUUUCUCUCAUGCUCCUAUCCUUUCAUGGUAUUAGAGCACUUGUCUCGUGUAAAUGACGUUCUUGUUUUCUGCAUCUGCUACUUCUGGUGAUUGAAUUAGAAGAAGGUAUUGCUAUAAUACAUAUUUCUUCUUUGUAAUACUGUUCUUUGAUUGUUCUUGGAAAUGGAUGCCGGAGAUUCAAGCGAAACCAGAGUCUCGACAAAUCAAUCCAUGGAUGAGAUUUUUCAUCUUCAAAACUCUGAUAAUCCAGGCUUGGUGCUAGUCAGUGCACCACUGACUGGAACAAACUACCUGGCAUGGAGUCGUUCAAUGAUGAUAGCACUUCGCGCGAAGAACAAAUUAGGAUUCAUUAAUGGCAGCACCGAAAAACCUGAGGAAGAUUCUCCUACAUUCGAUAAAUGGCAAAGAGCAGAUUCCAUGGUUUUUUCAUGGAUCUUGAACGCAAUUUCUAAGGAUGUAGUAGAAGCUUUUCUCUAUGUUACUACAGCCAAAGAACUAUGGGAAGAACUGAAACAGCGCUUCGGUGAGAGUAACGGGCCUUUGUUGUAUCAGAUCAAACGGGAAAUUAGUUCUUUCUCUCAAGAUAACAUGUCGGUAGGGGUAUAUUUCACAAAGCUCAAGAAGCUUUGGGACGAGCUAAGUUGCUUACGACCCUUUCCCACGUGUACUUGUGGUGCAGCAAAGACUAUGAUAGAUAUUGAGAACGGUGAUAAGGUGAUACAAUUUCUGAUGGGUCUCCGGGAUGGUUAUGAUCAUGUUCGAAACCAGGUGCUGCUUAUGGAUCCACUGCCAAAAAUUAAUAAAGCCUAUUCUAUGGUCUUGAGUGUGGAGAAACAGAGGGAGAUACAUGGAUGGAUAACUGAAUCAAGUGAAAAUGUUGUGUUAAUGGCUAAAAACACAUUUACAAGGAAAGAUCUAAUGCCAAACAAGUCACAGAAAAAAGGAGAUUUGGGAAAGAAAGAAGAUCGGUACUGCAGCUAUUGCAAUAAGUCCGGACAUCUCAAGGAGACGUGCGUCAAGUUGCACGGAUAUCCUGAAUGGUUUCACGAGCUUAAGCAGAAGAAGAUGAAUAAGCCACAAGCAUACAUGACUACUCAAAUGCAGGAUACACCUUUUGAUGGUGAUUUCUUAACUGAUGUACCCAAAAGAAGUGAGAAUUGGGCCAAUUCUGUUGAGUUUACCACGGCUGUACAGCAAGAGGUAGCAAGAUACAUGAAAGGGAAAAUGAGUACUGAUGAUAACUGUGCCAAUUACGCUGGUUUUGCAGAUAUUCUGAUCCAAAUAGUGCAUCAUCUUCGUUUUCAAUACUUCUUGGGGAUGCCCCUCAUCUUGAUGGCCAGUAUGCAAUAUUUGGUAAAGUUACCAAAGGGGAUGACACGCUCACAAAGUUUGAGCAACUCCCUACUCGACGUGAAGGCAUCUUUGUAAUGCCGACUGAGCGCAUCACAAUUCUUUCAUCUUACUACUAUGAUACUGAGAUAGUGACUUGUGAAGAGGAAAGAUCAGUCUUGAGACGAAAACUUGCUGCAUCUGCUGUUGAAGUUGAGAGACAGAGGAUGAAAUGCUUCCCAUAAUUU